GUGGCUGCCGCGAGCCGGUCAGAGGCGGAGCGACGCACCAGGCGCGCUAGGAGGAGGCAGGAGGCCUCGCGAUCCUCUCCCACCAACGACAUUCAGGGACCGUGCGCAUCUGGCUCCCCAAGUGGCGCCCACUGGCCACCAGGGAAGGGUGCCUGGAAGUGACCACUGGGCCUCUCCACAGACGAGGCCUGGGGGCCUGGCCUGGUCCAAGAGCUCUGAGGACAGCUACAGGGUGCUCCUGUCCAAGGCCAAUUGAUCUAGGCUGUGUCCCACACAAAGGCAUCGCUCCCAAGCCCAGUCAGCUCUCCAGCGCUUCCAGAACUCAGCUCCAGGGUCCCUGCCAAAGACUGGCCCUCUCUGUCUGCCAACUCCGUCCUCAGGAGCACGGGCUCCCUUCCCCACUAGGAGGCUGGUGCUUACUCCAAGCCCAUCCCAGCCUGAGCCGUGUCCAGAUCAGCUCCAGGUCACAACCAGCCCUGUCCUGUGCCGCCCUGUCCUGUGCGGCCCUGCCCGCUCCCUGUCUUUGGCGCUGGCUGUGUUGCUGACCGGCUGUGGUCCUGCUGCCAGGUCCCCAGGCUGCCUCUGCUCAUGCCGCAGUGAUGCCUCAGUGUCUCCCAAUCCCCACAGAGACCCUUCUCAAUCAUCCUGCCUCCCAAGGAACAAACACCACGUUGGCUUAAUGUCUCCAGAAUUAGCUACUCCAGCUGCCCCAGCGACUCUUGACUCAUGGGAGCUCCUGGGCAUCGGAGCUGCUACAUUUGACCCUAGCUGGCCUUGAAACCCAGCCUUGGUCUAACGACUUCUAGCAGCAAGAAGAGGCUGCAGCGACUGUGCUCCAGCAGAGAGCCAGUGCCAAGACCUCAAGCCCAAAGCCACAGUCACCUCUGCUGCCCAGAAUGUCACGGCAGGCAGGGGCCUGCUUGUCACACCGGGCCCCAGAUGGCACAGCUGAGGUCAACUGACUGCAGGCGGUGACCCCACCCUCCUGGCAGCCCCCUUACCGGUCACGACAGGCCACCGCCAAGCCAGACCCCGGAGCCGGGCAGGCCAGGAGCCUACAUAAAGCAGGAAAAGUUGCUCUGAUUAAUAUUACCUUAAAUUAAAACUGAUUUU